rnacentral:misc_RNA from 1 species
AACGCACGAGACCUGCGGACCUGCGGAGGGAUCAUUAAUGAGAAACUGCCCCUCGCGGGUAGAUCUCCCACCCUUUGUAAACUUACCUUUGUUGCUUUGGCAGGCCCGUCUCCGGACCGCCGGCUUCGGCUGGCCAGUGCCUGCCAGAGGAUUCUAAAACUCUGUCUGUCAGUGUUGUCUGAGUCUAUAUACUAUCGUUAAAACUUUUAACAAUGGAUCUCUAGAUCGGAAGAGCACACG